rnacentral:rRNA from 1 species
UACGUAGGGGGCAAGCGUUGUCCGGAAUUAUUGGGCGUAAAGAGCGUGUAGGCGGUCCGGUAAGUCGGCUGUGAAAGUCCAGGGCUCAACCCUGGGAUGCCGGUCGAUACUGCCGGACUAGAGUUCGGAAGAGGCGAGUGGAAUUCCCGGUGUAGCGGUGAAAUGCGCAGAUAUCAGGAGGAACACCAGUGGCGAAGGCGGCAUCCUGGACCGGUAUUGACGCUGAGGCGCGAAAGCUAGGGUAGCAAACGGG